UACGUAGGGUGCAAGCGUUAAUCGGAAUUACUGGGCGUAAAGCGUGCGCAGGCGGGUCUAUAAGACAGAUGUGAAAUCCCCGGGCUCAACCUGGGAACUGCAUUUGUGACUGUAGAGCUGGAGUGCGGCAGAGGGGGAUGGAAUUCCGCGUGUAGCAGUGAAAUGCGUAGAUAUGCGGAGGAACACCGAUGGCGAAGGCAAUCCCCUGGGCCUGCACUGACGCUCAUGCACGAAAGCGUGGGGAGCAAACAGG
rnacentral:rRNA from 1 species